GGCGACGUAGCCAAGGGGGAAGGCAGGAGUCUGCAAAACUCUUAUUCACCGGUUCGAUUCCGGUCGUCGCCUCCA
rnacentral:tRNA from 1 species